GGGAAUGUGGCUCAAUGGUAGAGUGGUUGCCUAGCAUGCAUGAAGUCCUGGGUUCGAUUCCUCAGUACCA
rnacentral:tRNA from 1 species